AAAAAGAGUUCAGAGGACGUGAAACCGAUAGGAUGGAAGCAGAUGAAGUUGACGAACGAGUGUCGUAUUCAGGGUUGCAUCUUGUGUGCGGUCUGUUCUUGCGACCGAUGUGGGCUGGCGGCUUUGGUCAAUGCACUGUGUCAAGUUUCGAUGGAGACCCUGCGGAGGGAUAAUCGGUCGUUGCACGAUACGUGGUAUGGCUAAGGCUUAUCGCCGGUCUUGAAGUCAGCGCCUCAUCUGACCCGUCUUGAAACACGGACCAAGGAGUGUAGCGUUUGCGCAAGUCUUAGAGUGUGUCAAAACUUUGAGGCGUAACGAAAGUAAAUGUAGCUUCGAUCUACUGACUUGGGAUACGUUGUCUCGUGUGGACGGCGUUGGACCAUGGUUUUAUCGCGAUCGCUUGCGAUGCGGUGAAAAUAGAGCGUAAACGGUGCGACCCGAAAGAUGGUGAACUAUGCCUGAGCAGGAUGAAGCCGGAGGAAACUCUGGUGGAAGUCCGAAGCGGUUCUGACGUGCAAAUCGAUCGUCUGACUUGGGUAUAGGGGCGAAAGACUAAUCGAACCAUCUAGUAGCUGGUCCCCUUCCGAA
rnacentral:rRNA from 2 species